rnacentral:rRNA from 1 species
UACGAAGGGGGCUAGCGUUGCUCGGAAUCACUGGGCGUAAAGCGCACGUAGGCGGAUUGUUAAGUCAGGGGUGAAAUCCUGGAGCUCAACUCCAGAACUGCCUUUGAUACUGGCGAUCUCGAGUCCGGGAGAGGUGAGUGGAACUGCGAGUGUAGAGGUCGAAAUUCGUAGAUAUUACGCAAGAACACCAGUGGCGAAGGGCGGACUCACCUGGCCCGGGUACGUAGGACUGCGUGAGGCGCGCAAACGAUGGG